rnacentral:misc_RNA from 1 species
UUAACUAUUAUGUAAUACUCGGACAAUACAAAUCAAGAGUUUAGGGUCCUCUGGCAGGCACUGACCAGCUGAUGCCGGUAGUCAAAAGACAGGCCUGCCAAAGCAACAAAGGUAUAGUAAACAAAGGGUGGGAGAUAUACCCCGUAAAGGGCAUGUUCUCAGUAAUGAUCCUUCCGCAGGUUCACCUACGGAAA